rnacentral:rRNA from 1 species
GAGUUUGAUCAUGGCUCAGAACGAACGCUGGCGGCAGGCUUAACACAUGCAAGUCGAACGCGUGUAGCAAUACAUGAGUGGCGCACGGGUGAGUAACACGUGGAUAUCUGCCUUUUGGUUCGGAAUAACCCUGGGAAACUAGGGCUAAUACCGAAUGGUUCCUACGGGAUAAAGAUUUAUCGCCAAAAGAUGAGUCCGCGUCCGAUUAGCUAGUUGGUGGGGUAAUGGCUCACCAAGGCGACGAUCGGUAGCUGGUCUGAGAGGACGAUCAGCCACACUGGGACUGAGGCACGGCCCAGACUCCUACGGGAGGCAGCAGUGGGGAAUAUUGGACAAUGGGGGCAACCCUGAUCCAGCCAUGCCGCGUGAGUGAUGAAGGCCUUCGGGUUGUAAAGCUCUUUUGGCGGGGACGGAUGAUGACGGUACCCGCAGAAUAAGCCCCGGCUAACUUCGUGCCAGCAGCCGCAGUAAG